UACGGGGGGGGCAAGCGUUGUUCGGAAUUACUGGGCGUAAAGAGCUCGUAGGCGGCUUGUCACGUCGGGUGUGAAAGCCCGGGGCUUAACCCCGGGUCUGCAUUCGAUACGGGCUAGCUAGAGUGUGGUAGGGGAGAUCGGAAUUCCUGGUGUAGCGGUGAAAUGCGUAGAUAUCUGGAGGAACACCGGUGGCGAAGGCGACAUCCUGGACCGGUAUUGACGCUGAGGCGCGAAAGCCAGGGGAGCAAACGGG
rnacentral:rRNA from 1 species